rnacentral:rRNA from 1 species
UACGAAGGGGGCGAGCGUUGUUCGGAUUUACUGGGCGUAAAGCGUGCGCAGGCGGCUAUGCAAGACAGAUGUGAAAUCCCCGGGCUCAACCUGGGAACUGCAUUUGUGACUGCAUGGCUAGAGUACGGCAGAGGGGGAUGGAAUUCCGCGUGUAGCAGUGAAAUGCGUAGAUAUGCGGAGGAACACCGAUGGCGAAGGCAAUCCCCUGGGCCUGUACUGACGCUCAUGCACGAAAGCGUGGGGAGCAAACAGG